rnacentral:rRNA from 1 species
AUUGAACGCUGGCGGCAGGCCUAACACAUGCAAGUCGAGCGAGCGGCGGACGGGUGAGUAAUGUCUGGGAACCUGCCUGAUGGCGGGGGAUAACUACUGGAAACGGUAGCUAAUACCGCAUACCAUCAGAUGUGCCCAGAUGGGAUUAGCUAGUAGGUGGGGUAACGGCUCACCUAGUCGACGAGCCCUAGCGGGUCUGAGAGGAUGACCAGCCACACUGGACCUGAGACACGGUCCAGACUCCUACGGGAGGCAGCAGUGGGGAAUAUUGCACAAUGGGCGAAAGCCUGAGACAGCCAUGCCGCGUGUGUGAAGAGGGCCUUCGGGUUGUAAAGCACUUUCAGCGGGGAGGCGUUACCCGCAGAAGAAGCACCGGCUAACUCCGUGCCAGCAGCCGCGGUAAUAC